CCACAAAGGCACAUGUUAUAUCUAACACGGUUUCUCGGGCAUAUGCAUAUUCACAACUAAAACUUGACAUCCAUUCGACAUCUGCCAUGCUGAAGAUGGCAGUGGCACGCCUGAGCACUAAAAUGUUAACCUUGAUUGUGAGCCUCAAGGCCUACACCUAAGGCCCCACAAAGGCACCUCUCAAAGUUAACGAUGUCCUUCUCUUUCAGCCUUGCCCGAAGAGUCUUGCCCGACGAGACUUGCCCGACAAAGCCCGACAGGAAAGCAGAAGCCCGACAGCAGCCCUCAACCGGCGCCGAACCUCCAGGG
rnacentral:lncRNA from 1 species